GACGAACGCUGGCGGCGUGCCUAAUACAUGCAAGUAGAACGCUGAAGGAGGAGCUUACUUCUCCGGAUGAGUUGCGAACGGGUGAGUAACGCGUAGGUAACCUGCCUGGUAGCGGGGGGAUAACUAUUGGAAACGAUAGCUAAUACCGCAUAACAGUAGAUAUUGCAUGAUAUCUGCUUGAAAGGUGCAAUUGCAUCACUACCAGAUGGACCUGCGUUGUAUUAGCUAGUUGGUGAGGUAACGGCUCACCAAGGCGACGAUACAUAGCCGACCUGAGAGGGUGAUCGGCCACACUGGGACUGAGACACGGCCCAGACUCCUACGGGAGGCAGCAGUAGGGAAUCUUCGGCAAUGGACGGAAGUCUGACCGAGCAACGCCGCGUGAGUGAAGAAGGUUUUCGGAUCGUAAAGCUCUGUUGUAAGAGAAGAACGAGUGUGAGAGUGGAAAGUUCACACUGUGACGGUAUCUUACCAGAAAGGGACGGCUCACUACGUGCCAGCAGCCGCGGUAAUACGUAGGUCCCGAGCGUUGUCCGGAUUUAUUGGGCGUAAAGCGAGCGCAGGCGGUUAGAUUAGUCUGAAGUUAAAGGCUGUGGCUUAACCAUAGUACGCUGUUGGAAACUGUUUAACUUGAUUGCAAGAGGGGAGAGUGGAAUGCCAUGUGUAGCGGUGAAAUGCGUAUAUAUAUGGAGGAACACCGGUGUCGAAGCGGCUCUCUGGCUUGUACUGACGCUGAGGUCCAUGCUUGUGAGCAGUGUG
rnacentral:rRNA from 1 species